CUUUUUCUUAAUAGAAAUCUAUUUUCUAAAAAGAUUUAUAAAAUAUUUAGCAAACGCGGAGAAAGAAAAGCCCAAGCUGUCAUUAUAUAAACGGUGAAAAGUUGAAGCUGGAGAAAUCAUAUUGAAAUCUCUCUCAUUGUCGUUACUCAUCUCGAGAAAUAAUGGAAGCUACUCAAAUACUUCUGUGUUUAAUUCUAACCCUAUUAUGUUACUGUUUUAUAUAUCUUUUAUGCCGCUCUAUUCUUUCAUUCUUCUUCAAACUUUUUCUAGUCAUAUGUUUUCCUGUCACUCAAGCAUUGUCGUUUCUGUUCAUGAAUAUCAAGUCCAAGAAAUAUAUUGCAGUUGCUGUUGUUUUGUGCAUGCUCAUCGGAAAACAAGUUCUUUCAAUUAACUACGGAGCUAUGUUAAUCAGAAUCGUUCUCAUCUUACUCUAUAAGGAGUUGAAGGAACUUUACUUCAGGUCAU